rnacentral:rRNA from 1 species
AUACGUAGGUGGCAAGCGUUGUCCGGAAUUACUGGGUGUAAAGGGCGUGUAGGCGGGGAUGCAAGUCAGAUGUGAAAUUCCGGGGCUCAACCCCGGCACUGCAUCUGAAACUGUGUCUCUUGAGUGCUGGAGAGGAAAGCGGAAUUCCUAGUGUAGCGGUGAAAUGCGUAGAUAUUAGGAGGAACACCAGUGGCGAAGGCGGCUUUCUGGACAGUAACUGACGCUGGGGCGCGAAAGCGUGGGUAGCGAACAGGAUUAGAUACCCUGGUAGUCCACGCCGUAAACGAUGGAUACUAGGUGUAGGAGGUAUCGACCCCUUCUGUGUCGGAGUUAACACAAUAAGUAUCCCACCUGGGGAGUACGGCCGCAAGGUUGAAACUCAAAGGAAUUGGCGGGG